rnacentral:rRNA from 1 species
UGCCAGCAGCCGCGGUAAUUCCAGCUCUCAAAAUGCAUAGAAUUAUUGGUGNCGGUAAAAAGCUCGUAGUUGGAUCUGUGCUGAGGACCUGGUCCACCUUCGGGUGCGUACUAGGCUCCCCGGCUUUUCUGCCGGUUUUCCCGUCCUGGCUUUCUUCGGCUGUGGCGGGUGGCUGGUGGUUUUUCUUUGAACAAAUCAGAGUGCUUCAAACAGGCGUUUAGCUUGAAUGUUUUUGCAUGGAAUAAUAGAAGAGGAUUUCGGUUCUAUUUUAUUGGUUUUAUAGACUGAAAUAAUGGUUAACAGAGACCAACGGGGGCAUUCGUACCGCUGCGUGAGAGGUGAAAUUCUUGGACCGCAGCGAGACGAACUACAGCGAAAGCAUUUGCCAAGAAGGUCUUCAUUAAUCAAGAACGAAAGUCAGAGGUUCGAAGGCGAUCAGAUACCGCCCUAGUUCUGACCGUAAACGAUGCCAACUAGCGAUCUGCCGGUGGAAUUUUCGCCCUGGUAGGGAGCUUCCCGGAAACGAAAGUCUUCCGGUUCCGGGGGAAGUAUGGUUGCAAAGCUGAAACUUAAAGGAAUUGACGGAAGGGCACCACCAGGAGUGGAGCCUGCGGCUUAAUUUGACUCAACACGGGGAAACUCACCCGGCCCGGACACCAUAAGGAUUGACAGAUUGAUAGCUUUUUCAUGAUUUGGUGGAUGGUGGUGCAUGGCCGUUCUUAGUUCGUGGAGCGAUUUGUCUGGUUUAUUCCGAUAACGAGCGAGACUCUAGCCUACUAAAUAGUCUGCACAUUGCUUCUGUGAUGCAGUACUUCUUAGAGGGAUUUUCGGUGUACAGCCGCACGAGAUUGAGCAAUAACAGGUCUGUGAUGCCCUUAGAUGUCCGGGGCUGCACGCGCGCUACACUGGCGAAAUCAGCGUGCUUGUCCUUGCUCGAAAGAGCUUGGUAAACCAAUGAAAAUUUGCCGUGAUUGGGAUCGGAAAUUGCAAUUAUUUUCCGUGAACGAGGAAUCACAAGUAAAUGCGAUUCUUCUUUU